UACCUUACCCCCGCUGGAAACUUAAGCAUAUCAAUAAGCGGAGGAAAAGAAACCAACAGGGAUUGCCCUAGUAACGGCGAGUGAAGCGGCAACAGCUCAAAUUUGAAAUCUGGCUCUCUUUGGGGGUCCGAGUUGUAAUUUGCAGAGGAUGCUUUGGCAUUGGCGGCGGUCUAAGUUCCUUGGAACAGGACAUCACAGAGGGUGAGAAUCCCGUACGUGGUCGCCUGCCUUUGCCGUGUAAAGCUCCUUCGACGAGUCGAGUUGUUUGGGAAUGCAGCUCUAAAUGGGAGGUAAAUUUCUUCUAAAGCUAAAUACCGGCCAGAGACCGAUAGCGCACAAGUAGAGUGAUCGAAAGAUGAAAAGUACUUUGGAAAGAGAGUCAAAAAGCACGUGAAAUUGUUGAAAGGGAAGCGCUUGCAGCCAGACUUGCCCGCAGUUGCUCACCUAGGCUUUGGCCUGGGGCACUCUUCUGCGGGCAGGCCAGCAUCAGUUUGGGCGGUUGGAUAAAGGCCUCUGUCACGUAUCUUCCUUCGGGAUGACCUUAUAGGGGAGGCGUAAUGCAACCAGCCCGGACUGAGGUCCGCGCAUCUGCUAGGAUGCUGGCGUAAUGGCUGUAAGCGGCCCGUCUUGAAACACGGACCAAGGAGUCUAACAUCUAUGCGAGUGUUUGGGUGUCAAGCCCGGGCGCGCAAUGAAAGUGAACGGAGGUGGGAACCCUUUGGGUGCACCAUCGACCGAUCCUGAUGUCUUCGGAUGGAUUUGAGUAAGAGCAUAGCUGUUGGGACCCGAAAGAUGGUGAACUAUGCUUGAAUAGGGUGAAGCCAGAGGAAACUCUGGUGGAGGCUCGCAGCGGUUCUGACGUGCAAAUCGAUCGUCAAAUUUGGGCAUAGGGGCGAAAGACUAAUCGAACCAUCUAGUAGCUGGUCCCUGCCGAAGUUCUCCUC
rnacentral:rRNA from 1 species